ensembl:lncRNA
AACCCUCGAGGUCACUUUAACAAGGGUUACAUAGCACAACAACAUCAUAAAAUCACAGGUAAAACCAUUUAGAACAGUGAAAUACAGGUUAUUGAGGAUCACUGGAAGAAUCUAGAAAUAAAAUAUAGAUAAAACAUUAGGCAAUAAUCAAAUGCUUUGCUCAGGUGCAUUCAGUAAGGUCCACAUUUAUGAUCACGUUAAGCACUGACAAGGUCUUGUGCAGUGCUUUCUGUUUGAAAGCCAGACAGAUGGGAUGUUUGUGUCAUCAAAUUUAAAGUUAAGUUCUGGUCAUUUGCAACGUAAAUACUGGCUUUUGGGCAUGUUACACUAGGAUGUAACAUUUUAAACGUAAGGCUGAGGCUAAGGCCUUCCCUGGAGCGAGCAGGAGGACUAGCUGCUAGCGCUAACAGCUCAUCGGCUACCUCUCAAUCAAAAAGACAUGUCCCGAUUAUUCAUAAUUUCAGGGUUUAAUUAUAUCUAAACAGAUGAGUUACAAAAAUCCACCCCUCACUGUUGUCAUGACUGUAAACUAGACCUAAAAUGUUUUUUGUAAACAUGUUUAGUUGUGCUAUGAAAUUGACAUUUUAAAAAUGGGAGUUAAUAGAAACUUGCUUCUUUCUGGAGCCAGCACCUAGAGGAUGAGGGCGGAACUGCAGGUUUGGUCACUUUCGCGUUGGCUUCAGCUUCGACAGCCGGAGAUCCCCAUCUGUCUGAGCUAGAGCAGAAAGGACAGAAAGAACGUGGGUAUUCCAGUGAAUCUAGGGUCGUUUAUGGCCAAGCUUCCUGAAUUUAGCCUAUUAAUUCAAUGUUGGUUUUAGAAAAAAGCUGUCAUGGUCUGAGGUGUAUUCCUGCUGUCACUCCCUGUCUUUUGAGUUUUCCCUCUGCAGGUGGGCGUGUCUGGAGGUUGACCAAGCUGCAGCAGAUCUGCUCAUCAGCUGGCCAGGGGUAUUUAAGCAGCUGAGAGACUCCUACACUUCGCUGGAUGAUUACUCUACCUGGAUCAACCUCCACUUUCAUCCCCGACUGGCUAUUUCUCUGGAACUCAACCUGCUUGUCUCUCAGCUGCUCCCUGGCCAGAACCACCUCCAGCUGCCCACCUAAGCUCCCUGGAUCUCCACAAACCCAGCUCUCUCCACGUCUCCCCUUCUGGAUCUCAGUCUCAGGAAUCCCCUCUCAGCCNCAACUCAGCUCCCUCCACGUCUCCCCUUCUGGAUCUCAGUUUCAGGAAUCCCCUCUCAGCCCAGACCGGACCACUCCUCCCUUGAGCUACUUUUCCCCCUCUCCAGACUGUAAGUCCCCCACACAAUUCCGAUUCCUUGUUUUCCCCUUUGAGUUGGAUCUGACUCCCAUCUGUCCACAGAUUUCCCUCACGGGCUCCCUUUGUGACAGAACUCAGCUGCGUUCAAGCUGCUCCCUUGGUUUCCUUUUAAUUCUUAUUUAAAGCACUUUCCCCAUCUCAAGCUGAUUCUGUAUGUCGUGGGUUAGACAUCUACACCACAACAUGACAGUCAGAACCCUGGAAAAGUUCAAAGUCAUCGAUGACAGUCUGAGAAACUGAGCUGAGCAGAAAAUCAGGAUUUUUAUUAAGAAAAAAAAAAAGAUCAAACUAGAAAACUAGGUUGAAUAUUUGACCGAGAGCAGAAGAGGCAACCGUUGUGGACCCUUUAGGCCGGGCCUUCACAAUCAGAAUCAGGGAGUUUGUUCUAUCUGUAAUCAUCAGGCUCCGGAUGCAGGUUUGCUUCCAGCUUGUGCCUGUUACCAUGGAAACUCAUGACAGAAACCCAGCAAGCCCCAGGUCAACCGGCGAAGAAAACGAUAAGAAAUGUUAACCCUGCUGCCAUUAGGGUUACCAUGGUAACAACCAACAUGUCUGUUGGCUGGAUGAGCUCUUUGAUGAAAAAAGGUAUUUCUAUAAAGUUCAUCUGAGCCAGUCAUUAAUGCAUUUUUCCUCUGAUAGCUCCGUAUUCUGUGUUCUUCGUACUCUGGUAGCUGUUCUGACAGCUCCUUAUGGAAAUGUCUCCAAAUGCAUGUUUUUUGUUCCUCCAGUCAGUAUCCCAGCUGUUUCUGGACCACCUCUUAAUAUCAGAGACUCAAAUCCUUGUUGCUGACAUCUGGUGAGAGACUGAAAAGUGCAUCACCUUUCCACAGACCCACUGAACAAUUGACCUCUGACCUAAUGGGCUAAGCUUCGUGAUGAAUCAUAUCCAAAUGCAUCCUUUGAUUUACUUCCAACAUCUGAUCUGAGUUGGGAAUGAGAAUUGUGAUUGCCUUCAAGCUGCUGCUUCAGAUUUCUGAAUCUUGUCACUAAUGUUGUAAUCACACCGGUGCAAAUGACAGAAUGAAAAGACAGUGUGAGGAGAGACGAGGUCACAGAAAGGCUACGGAGCUGAACAGGCAGUCGUCCGUCAUAAUUCACCACCGUCUCCCAUUCCCACUGAAAGGUAGACCGACUUCAUUUAUCUGCAGUGUAAUUCCUCACACCAGCUUCCAUAUGCUGCUCGUCACAACAACGUAACCAUAGACCGGUUCUGGAAACUUAAACUCCAAUAAAACGAGUCUCAGUGGAGAAGAUGAUCAAACACUGAUGGUGAUUCUGUUUAACUUGGUCCAACAAAUCAGGAAAGAUUUUAUUUCAGCACAACAAGGAUGGAGGUUUUCCAACUCCUCUAAUUCUCAGCCUGUUGGUGUAGAACUGGGUCGGACUGUUCCAGGUACAAACGUGUUUACCUGCAGACGAGGUUCAUAUGAGUCCUUGUUACCGCUUUACUCGCCACAAUCAUGAGUCUGAUCAACUCAAAAAGACAGAUGGACGAAAAAUCUCAAAACCAAAAACAGUCAUCACAUUUAGAGAAGAGUGGUGGGCGUUGCCAACACCCACACGCAGUUGGCCACGCCCAUGGGACCAAACAGCUGAUGAAGACACGCCCACUAACACCUGUUAACACUUCUUUUUUUUCCCGUGUCCUGUCUGGCGGUGAAGCAAACAUAAUUGAUGUCUGAAUGCUGGUAACAAGCCUUACAGAUUUACUCUCAGGUGGAGCAUCAAAGCGUCUGCUUUUAAUGUCACGCCUGAUACUUAAAACUUUAUUGUUAUUGUUUUUGAAUGCUUUGUAAUUCCGACCAGACACGGAGUCAGAGGUGAAAGAGAAAGGAAAAGACAAAAGGUGGGGGUGGGGGUUCCACAAAAAUGAACAAUAAUGAACAAGAGUCUGCUUCUAGACCUGCAGAAAGAAAAAGAAUAGAAAAAAAUGGGACACAACAAUAAAAUCAGGAGCAAGCUAUCACCGCGUCAACCUGAUGAUGAAAUAUACAAUCAGCAUUGUUUAACUGAACAAUCACAUGAUAAUAAAUCAUAGUGCAUUUAGUGGCAACCAUAGUCUUAAGACCUGUGUUUAACGUGCCCAAACCCAUACUUUUGAGAGCACCAUGUGAGCACCUGUGUGUGUACACGCGCUUG